CAGGGAUUGCCCUAGUAACGGCGAGUGAAGCGGCAACAGCUCAAAUUUGAAAUCUGGCCCUCGUGGUCCGAGUUGUAAUUUGUAGAGGAUGCUUUUGGUGCGGUGCCUUCCGAGUUCCCUGGAACGGGACGCCAGAGAGGGUGAGAGCCCCGUACGGUUGGACACCUACCCUAUAUAUAGCUCCUUCGACGAGUCGAGUAGUUUGGGAAUGCUGCUCUAAAUGGGAGGUAAAUUUCUUCUAAAGCUAAAUACCGGCCAGAGACCGAUAGCGCACAAGUAGAGUGAUCGAAAGAUGAAAAGCACUUUGAAAAGAGGGUUAAAUAGCACGUGAAAUUGUUGAAAGGGAAGCGUUUGCGACCAGACUUUUUCCAGGCGGAUCAUCCGGUGUUCUCACCGGUGCACUUCGCCUGGUUUAGGCCAGCAUCGGUUCUCUUAGGGGGAUAAAGGCUUGGGGAACGUAGCUCCUUCGGGAGUGUUAUAGCCCCUUGCGUAAUACCCUUCGGGGGACCGAGGAUCGCGCUCUGCAAGGAUGCUGGCGUAAUGGUCGUCAACGACCCGUCUUGAAACACGGACCAAGGAGUCGAACAUUUGUGCGAGUGUUUGGGUGUUAAACCCUCACGCGUAAUGAAAGUGAACGGAGGUGAGAGCCCUUACGGGUGCAUCAUCGACCGAUCCUGAUGUCUUCGGAUGGAUUUGAGUAAGAGCAUAACUGUUCGGACCCGAAAGAUGGUGAACUAUGCGUGGAUAGGGUGAAGCCAGAGGAAACUCUGGUGGAGGCUCGCAGCGGUUCUGACGUGCAAAUCGAUCGUCAAAUCUGCGCAUGGGGGCGAAAGACUA
rnacentral:rRNA from 1 species